rnacentral:rRNA from 1 species
AUUGAACGCUGGCGGCAGGCCUAACACAUGCAAGUCGAGCGGAUGAAGGGAGCUUGCUCCUGGAUUCAGCGGCGGACGGGUGAGUAAUGCCUAGGAAUCUGCCUGGUAGUGGGGGAUAACGUCCGGAAACGGGCGCUAAUACCGCAUACGUCCUGAGGGAGAAAGUGGGGGAUCUUCGGACCUCACGCUAUCAGAUGAGCCUAGGUCGGAUUAGCUAGUUGGUGGGGUAAAGGCCUACCAAGGCGACGAUCCGUAACUGGUCUGAGAGGAUGAUCAGUCACACUGGAACUGAGACACGGUCCAGACUCCUACGGGAGGCAGCAGUGGGGAAUAUUGGACAAUGGGCCAAAGCCUGAUCCAGCCAUGCCGCGUGUGUGAAGAAGGUCUUCGGAUUGUAAAGCACUUUAAGUUGGGAGGAAGGGCAGUAAGUUAAUACCUUGCUGUUUUGACGUUACCAACAGAAUAAGCACCGGCUAACUUCGUG